UGGCACAGAACACUUCCAAAAUAUUCCCGUACAAUAACAUAGCCAUUCAUUGUAUUCAUCCGCCAUAUUUUGCCAAUUUUGUAAACCAAACCGCAACCUAGUUAAUAAAUACCCGGAUGUACAAUAACCGGAACCGGAAACAGCGAUAUCUAUUUUCAUCUAAUACUCGUAUAACCACGAGCGCAAUCCCCUCAUAACCCCUCACUUCGCUGCAUACGGAAUACCUCCAAGACACCAAUCUAAGCUCCGCCAAUACACAUCUCGGACCAAGCCAUGCACUCAGCCGGAGCCAGGCGCUACACAGG